CCUACGGGGGACAGCAGUGAGGAAUAUUGGUCAAUGGGCGCGAGCCUGAACCAGCCAAGUAGCGUGAAGGAUGACUGCCCUACGGGUUGUAAACUUCUUUUAUAAAGGAAUAAAGUGAGGCACGUGUGCCUUUUUGUAUGUACUUUAUUAAUAAGGAUCGGCUAAAUCCGUGACCGCAGCCGCGGUCAUACGGAGGGUCCGAGCGUUAUCCGGAUUUGCUGGGUUUAAAGGGAGAGUAGAGGGGUUGGUAAGUCAUUUGUGAAAGUUUGCGGCUCAAACGUAAAAUUGCAAUGGAUACUGGCAGUCUUGAGUACAGUUGAGGUAGGCGGAAUUCGUGGUGUAGCGGUGAAAUGCUUAGAUAUAACGAAGAACUCCGAUUGCGAAGGCAGCUUACUAAACUGCCACUGACAUUGAUGCUCGAAAGUGUGGGUAUCAAACAGGAUUAGAUACCCGGGUAGUC
rnacentral:rRNA from 1 species